CUUUUAACACAAUGACAUACUGACUGUGAAGAAACAUAGUUUUUUAAUCUUUUUAAUUAAUGACUACCAACUAUUAACUCCCACAUAUAAAAUAACUUGAAGAUUGACAUAGUCUACCGUCACUCAAAAGAACGCUGUUUCCACCAACUGUAAUUGUGAAUUCGACUACAUCUUAGUCCACUUACUUAAUUCAAAAGGACUGAAAACGAAAAUAUGCAGCUUAUUCGAGGUUCCCGCCACAACGAAUUGCCAGAAAAUGGAAGACAUACUCACCACCUAGAAGCUGCACAUGAUCUAUCUAUUUAUUCUUAAGGCGCAAAACCGGUUCAGCGCUUAUCAGCUCGACAGUUGUCGCCUCGUAAAAAUGCUGCAGUGAGCCACAAUCUUCUGGCCGUUCAUAACUGGUAAUCGAGGAGCCCAAACACUUUGGAAAACGUGGAUUCUUCAAAUCGUAACGUAUACAUACAUUACUUGAGUCGCAAUCGUGACUAUGUCGUAUCGUUCUAGCAUUUACAGCAGUCAAUAGCUAAACGAUUUGGAUAUCGGUAAAUGAAAACAGCUCAAUAUAAAUGACAACUUUUAAUAUUCCAGAAUAGGAGUUACCUUUUUCAAUCUUCUAUCUUAGAUUGAAUUUGUCAAAUCGAUACAGUUCAGUCGGAUAUUCAAAAUCAGUAAUCUUACGUCGACUCCACGUACUAGAAUUUUCUAUUCCUUUUUGAAGUGUCGUUAUUAAUUAUUGGCUAUUGACAUGUGUUUUAAAAUCAGCACUUUUUUUAAACCAUGAUAGCAUUAAUACGAAUGGACAAUUUUCAUUACGCGUAUUCGCAAUAUUGUUAUUCAUUUAUGUAUGUGAGAGGGAUUUCAUGCCGUUGCAUCUAGCGUCAGAUGGUUACCAUUCCUAAUUUUUAUGUAACUUAAUAAUUGUACGAUCACAGUUUUAUCUGUCAGCGGAAAAGACAGACACCGUUUCAGUAACGAAACAUUUAGUUCCUUUCUGAUCCUCCGUAGCUAGUUAAAUUUGCACCAGAUCGCAUAAACUUUGAAUUUGGAUCUAAUUGGAAUGAAUCUUAUCUAACAAGCAAAGACUACAGCACAAAUCGAAUGUUCAAGUUACGAAUGGACUUCAAUUAGUAUCUUCGGACUUUGUAUCUCGAGCUGAGCAUUUGACUUAUAACUUCUCCUGUCACAGACAUAAUAUGGCACUGUGAGUAUUACAGGACCUGUAGGAAACAAUUUCAUAGGCUGUACAAUGGACAUAAAGAGAAAAAUGCAGGGGAAAACAAAUAUGAAGAAGAAGCAAAAGGUCAAGUGGUGGCAAAAGUUAAGAGAUGCAAGAAGAUUACAAAGAAAAAUCAGUGAUAUGAGAAGACUAAAAAAAAAGAACGAUAACAAGAUUCUCAAUCUCAAUUAUGGCCUAAAAAAAAGAAGCAGAGGCAAACAAAGCUGAAAAAGUAGAAGAAAAUAGAAGCAUGAGAAAACCUCUUUGCACGUCUAUUAAAAAGUGUUUAUCAUUUAUCUUAAAUACUCACAAACAAUCGAGACCUUCAUCUUAAUUCAAAAUUACUAUUUUGACGAAAAACGUACUUUAUUUUCAUCCUGUAUUCGGUAAAAAUUAAAGGUUCUUCAAAACGUAAGAGCACCAUAUAAAAAGUGGCGUCUAAAUGUGUUAUAUUAAUUCUGCAGUACAACGUCUCGUCCGAGAUAGACUCCAACAAUAAGAGUAUCUUCAAUUACCUUCAUUUAAGUAUUCUCCGCUGAAGAUUAACGUAUGCGCAAUACGUAAGUCGCUCAAUUACCAGAAAGAGCUUCAGUUGAAGGAUAAAAUGUUCGGAGCA